AAAACCCAGCGAGGUCAGCGAAAUUACACUCACGCUGCCACACAGAGCCAACAAAACCCCCUCUUUUGCGCUCUUUUCAAAGCACAGCCUCCUCCACAAAUAUCUCUGCUCUAGCUGAUUUCUUGUUUCAAAGCUCAGCGAGCGGCGGAGAGAAAAAAACCCACCCCAUAGCAGCCACGCCCAUCAGGGAAAGUCAUAAUGGUUGAUCAAGUUCAAUAUCCAACUGUCAUGCAGAAGGUAGCUGGUCAGCUCCUUCAUUCCAGUCUUCCCCAAGAUUUCCAUGGCUAUGAUGGGGCUUACAAGAGGCCUGCUCUUUAUCAAAGGCGUGCCUAUGGCAACUACUCCAAUGCUGCAUUCCAAUAUUCCAUGGUGAGGGCAUGUGGUGCUGCCACUGACCUAUCUAUUGUUCCAUCAACUGCAUCUUCUGUUUGUGUCCAGGCUCCCUCUGAAAAAGGUUUUGCUAGCUUUGCUAUUGAUUUCCUUAUGGGCGGAGUGUCUGCUGCUGUAUCUAAGACAGCUGCUGCCCCAAUUGAGCGUGUUAAGCUAUUGAUUCAAAACCAAGAUGAGAUGAUUAAAAGUGGCAGACUCUCAGAACCCUACAAGGGCAUUGGUGAUUGUUUUAAGCGAACGAUGAAGGAUGAAGGGAUUGUUUCAUUGUGGAGAGGAAACACUGCCAAUGUCAUCCGCUACUUCCCUACUCAGGCCUUGAACUUUGCAUUCAAAGAUUACUUCAAGAGGCUCUUCAACUUUAAGAAAGACAGAGAUGGUUACUGGAAAUGGUUUGCUGGUAACUUGGCAUCAGGUGGUGCUGCUGGUGCUUCUUCCCUUCUCUUUGUCUACUCCCUAGACUAUGCCAGAACCCGUUUGGCCAAUGAUGCCAAGGCUGCAAAGAAGGGUGGAGAGAGGCAAUUCAAUGGGCUUAUUGAUGUCUAUAGAAAGACAAUGGCAUCUGACGGUAUUGCUGGGCUUUACCGUGGUUUUAACAUUUCUUGUGUUGGAAUCAUUGUUUAUCGUGGUCUGUAUUUCGGAAUGUACGAUUCUCUGAAGCCUGUUGUGUUGACUGGAAAGUUGCAGGUUGGUGAUAUGCUUCCUUUAUGUGUUAUUUUAUUUUAUUUUUUUUCAAUUGAAUGGCUGAUGAGUGCAAGAUUGGCCUUAUUCACCUUGAGUGUAUUCUUGCCAAUGAGUAAAUUUAUCUAUGUAUUUUUUUCCAUUAUCGGAAAUAGUUUCCAUAAUGUGUAAUAAGUUCUUAAUUCAAGGGCCUAAGUCUCUCCAGUUACCUAUGUUGAUUCAGGAAGCUAACAAUGCAGUUGCUUUGACCUGUUACUGAUUCAAACUAAAUUGUGAAGUUAUAUAUAUAUAUAUGUUCUUUUUUUUUUUUUUUGUCAAGACUAAGAAGCUAGAAGUUUAUCCUAGGCUUCAUGAAGGGGUGCUGUAAAUUUUUAGUUUUAUAACAUAUUCUUGUUUUCUAAUGAUUACAGGAUAGUUUCUUUGCUAGCUUUGCCCUUGGUUGGCUCAUCACUAAUGGUGCUGGUCUUGCCUCCUAUCCCAUUGAUACUGUCCGUAGAAGAAUGAUGAUGACCUCUGGUGAAGCUGUCAAGUACAAGAGCUCUCUUGAUGCCUUCUCUCAGAUAUUGAAGAAUGAAGGUGCUAAGUCACUCUUCAAGGGUGCUGGAGCCAACAUUCUUCGAGCCGUUGCUGGUGCAGGUGUGCUUGCUGGUUAUGACAAGUUGCAGCUGAUCGUCUUCGGUAAGAAGUAUGGAUCUGGCGGUGCUUAAGUUGCUCUGAGGUUACUCCAUUUAGCUUUAGAUGUUGAUGAAAAUCUUCAGUUCCGAGAAUUUUGUACG
rnacentral:misc_RNA from 1 species